AUUGAACGCUGGCGGAAUGCUUUACACAUGCAAGUCGAACGGCAGCACGGGGGCAGCCCUGGUGGCGAGUGGCGAACGGGUGAGUAAUACAUCGGAACGUGCCCGGUCGUGGGGGAUAACGUAGCGAAAGUUACGCUAAUACCGCAUACGAUCUGAGGAUGAAAGCGGGGGACCUUCGGGCCUCGCGCGAUCGGAGCGGCCGAUGUCAGAUUAGGUAGUUGGGGGGGUAAAGGCCUACCAAGCCGACGAUCUGUAGCUGGUCUGAGAGCACGACCAGCCACAAGGGGAGAGAGACACGGCCGAGACUCAUGCGAGGGGCAGGAGGGGGAAUUUUGCAAAAUGGGCGCGAGCGUGCCAGAGACACUGCGCGUGCAAGACAAAGGCCUGGGUUGUAAACUGCUUUUGUACGGAACGAAAAGGCUCUGGCUAAUACCUGGGGCUCAUGACGGUACCGUAAGAAUAAGCACCGGCUAACUACGUG
rnacentral:rRNA from 1 species